UACGUAGGCAGCGAGCGUUGUUCGGAGUUACUGGGCGUAAAGGGUGUGUAGGCGGUUGUUUAAGUUUGGUGUGAAAUCUCCCGGCUCAACUGGGAGGGUGCGCCGAAUACUGAAUGACUAGAGUGCGGGAGAGGAUGUGGGAAUUCCUGGUGUAGCGGUGAAGUGCGUAGAUAUCAGGAGGAACACCGGUGGCGAAGGCGCACAUCUGGCCCGAUACUGACGCUGAGGCGCGAAAGCUAGGGGAGCAAACGGG
rnacentral:rRNA from 1 species